GUGAUAUAAUUAUGGUAAACGAUUCAGCUACCUUAUAUAAAAUACUAAUUAAUUCAACCUACGUUAUAUAAAAGGUACAAUAUAAUCAUUGAAUCUUCUAAUAUGUUGAAAAGAAUAAUUUCUAGUUAACAUGCAAAAGCAAUCACUUCUAGAUGUAUUUCGAACAACAGCAAUAUAACAAACUUUUAGUUCUAUAAUUCCAGCAUCCAUCACAACUAUUUUUGGCAGGUAUAUGAUAUGACGCACUCCUACAAGGGAGAAAAAUAAACAUAAAAGUAACACAGCUUUCACCAUAAUGCUUAAAGCAUUAAAGUAUUUCCAUAAAUAACAUGUUACCUUUUUAUAUAUAAAAAUAAUCCUUGAAGCAGCCUGGGUCCCAAAUAUCAUGUCAUUCUGAGACUGGUAGUUAGAAAACAAAUAAUAUUCACUGCACUCAUUUUUUUUUUAAGUUUCAGAAAGAAGGCAAAAUCAAGUGUUAUAUUAGCACAAUUGCUAACAUAAAUCUUUGACAUAAAUGUGGGAAAUAAAUAGUACCAAUUCUCCAACUUCAAGAAAGGAAAAGAUUAUUCUUUGGCUCUUGGCCCAAGCUGGAAACAAGUAAGCAACCACAGAACCCAGAAUUAAAAAUGCCCCAAUCAGUCAAUCCUUACACUCUAUUCAACAUGUCCACUUAAGUACUCAGCUGAAAUGUCAGCCAAUCAGCAACUGCCUCACUUUAGUACCCUUGGUCCUCGACGCCAGCCAGUCCCUUAAACUCCAAGUUUAAAGUUGGCCAAUCUUUAAACUGUCUCACUUUUGAAAAUAAGCCAAUCCUAAAACCUCAUGCUUCCCCAAAAUCCUAUCUAAAUAUAUCUCUGCCUUUUUGGAGGGCUAUAUCCUGCAAGCCCCAUUUCCCCUUGCUGAAAAGUAUGAUAUUCAGCUUUAUUUCAACUACCCUUAAGGGGUGUUUCUUUCCUCAGUAAUGUAACAAAUACUAUGACUACUUGGAUUUGGUAUUUUUCUUCAUGGAGGUAAAAGAAAUAUUCUUGUUAUGAUAAUGCAGUUUUAUGGAAAACUGGGAAUCUUCACAUUUUAAUAUUCUUGCACAAUACACAAUCGCACUAACAAAGGUGUGUGUUCCUUUCCCUCUCAAUCCAGACCCACAAUUUCAUACUAUCAAUGGUCUAAAUCCAGCCAAUGGAUGAAACAGUAAAAUUUCCAAUUACUGAAACUUACACCAAGAAUUGAACUUCAUCAAAUAAUCUUCAAACAAAAUGAUAACUGAUUAAAUAUUCCACAAGACAUUCUUUUUGCUCUAAUGGAAAUGUCACUGUAACUUGUUUUUCUAAGAUCUGAAAACCUAAAUUCUAAAUUCUAUCUUUGAAAUUGAUUUACUUGGGCAAACUGAUCAUCUCUUUUUCAGCUUUCUACAAAAUGAAGUGACAAUUAUUAGCUCCCGCGACCUCACAAAAAUGAUGUAUUCAUUUAGACUAAAUGAACUCUAUAUGUUUCAGAAAGGAAAAUAGAACCAACCACUGUUAUCAUUUUGUUUGUUAAAGUCAAGUCAGUCUGAGGUUUAGGUCAGCAUGGAGAAGAAGUAUGAGAAAUAGACUCAAAUUUGACACAAAAGAUGGCUGAAGAAAAUAUUAUGGAUUCUAAUAAAGAAAUGAGGAUAGGAAUCCUAUCCCAGAUAUAAACUCCUCUAUCAGAAUGGCAAAAUGAAUGGUGCCAGGUGGACUACCUCACCCAAGGACAUGCAAACACAGCUAAGAGCCAUCUCUUUGGGCUGCAUCUGGACUUAGUGUUCUUCAAAAAUAAAUUCUAAAUACAUGUAGCACUACCUUAUGGUUUAUCAAAGCCCAGUGAAGCUUCCACUCAAAUUCAGUCAAGGUAGGAUUACAAACACUGCAUUGCCAACUGAUUCAAGUCACAACAUGGGCAUCUCACUAGAUGCUGAAGGAGACCAGAAUGUCGCCCCAAAAUAGGUUAUUUUGACAUCUGAAUUAUUUGAAUUAAAGGUACUUAAGAAAUAGCAGGGGAGAGGACACUCUGACUCUCCUUUUUUCUUCCUGAAAGCAAGAGAUAGAAUUCCCAUAUGAGAGGUAACCUCCCUAUUACAGAAGGAAGACAUUCUUAUCACCAGAGAUGGGGACUUGGGGGUUGAGAAAUGUGCACGAACUAACCUUGUUAAGCUAACCUUUAUCUUCCUAGUUACUUCUUCACCAUUUACUAUCCCUAGCCUAAACCCCUUUAUCUUGCCAAUUCUUCACAAAUGUGCUGUUUUCUUUGUCUAAAAUGUACAAAAGCUUCCUGCUCUGGUCAGUUCUUUGAAGGUUCCCAUGUAAAAGUUUAAUAAAGUUUGUAUGUUUUCUCCUGUUAACCUGUUUUAUGUACGUUUAAUUCUUAGCCUAGCCAGAGACCCAAAGAGGGCAGAGGAGAAUUUUUCCUCCCCUACAACGUCAAGAGAUUCACUCAGGUUAGGUUGAAUUUGGAAAAUUUAUCCAGAAGCUGUCAAAUUUAUUUAUGAGAAGAAUACAUGGAGAGGCAGCAAGCUCAGUGGAAAUAGUCAAAUUACAUUAUGAGUUGAGUAGCCUUGAAUAAGUUACUUAAUAUCUCCGAACUACUUUCCUCAUCUAUAAAAUAGGAAUAAUAGCACUAGUUUACAGGACUGUCAGAAAGAUUAAAUGGGAUAACAGUAACUGGUAACUUUAAAAAUGCCCUAAGCAUCAAGACCUCUGAGUCCUAGAUUUGCUUUUGUCACUAACUUGCUAUGAUAUAUAUGGCAAGUCAUUUGAUCUAAGUCUGAUUCCUCAUCUGUCCAAUUGUGAGGGUAAUAUAUAUAUGCCCUACACACUUCAUGGGGUGUUGAUGAAAAUUAAUGUGAAAAGGAUUUUUGAAAUAUAUAAACAACCAUAUAACUGUGAGAUAGUAAUUCAAUAAUACAAAAAUGAAAGGGAUUCAUAUACCAGCAAACCUGUUACAACCCAGGUUUAUAUAAUGCCCAAGUUAAAUUAAUUUUACUAAGAAAAAAAAGCUCAUGGCUAAAAACAAACCAAAAACACCAGACACACUGACAACUAGGAAAAUUCAAGGCUAUUAGAUGCAAUAAUUAUUUUCCAUGCAAUAAAUGAACCAAAUUAACUCAGUUCUCUAACAAACCAAAAGCUGUUCAACACAGUCUUUUACUCAAGUCAGGUUUUUGCCACUUAAAACUACCGCCUCAACCUCUGCGUAAGCAUCAAAAAAAGAGAAACAGAAAAAAGACAAAGAAAGUGACAUAUUACAGUUGUCUGCAUCAGUAGUACUGACAUUUUGAACAGGAUAAUUUUGUUAUUGAGAUUGCCUGUGCUUUGUAGGGUACUUAAUAAUAAAUAAAUUUAUAUUUAUAUUGUAGGGUACUCAACAAUAAAUAAAGGAAUAGGAAAAACAGGCCUUGGAGCAUUCCUGGCCUCCACCAACCUACACAGGGUUGUGACAACUGAAAAUGUCUCUGUAAGGCUGGAGGCCCUGGAGGGAGAAGGGCGAGGACAAUGCAGGCGGAGCAGAGACAGCACCAAGUAGCUCUGUGCCAUAUGGGGAAGGAACAAACAGCUCUUCCUGGAUUCCAGUCCCAUGACAUGCUGACAAACCCCGGAUGCAGACCCCCUCCAUCCGGAAGGAGGAGACCUCUGGCUGUCCAUCACCUGACCCUGAGCCAAUAAAAAAUUCCCCACAUAACCCUGGCGCGGCCCACUUCCCUCUCCCCUCCCUGUACUUAUAAAAACUCCCCGCCUAUCUGAUUAGGGGUGACUUCCCCGGCCUGUGAUAGCUAGAGGGUAUCCCGGAACUUCACCCGGGAACUGCGCUCAAAUAAACUGCCUGGCCUUUUGUUGCCUCUCAUCACCUGCUUAUUUUGGCUAGAAUUUAUCUUACAUCUGGUGCUGAAACCCAGGAAGGAGCGUGAGCGCAUGGCCCCGACUGGCCACCGGCGGCCCUGCCCCCUCCUUCCCCGACCUGGGACCUCAGCCUGCUCUCCGCUGCCUGGACUAUUUUCCGAUCCGCCGGAGGACCUUAGUCUCCCACCUCUCUCAGCUCGCUACCCCCACCCCUCUCCGCCACCAUCUUUAAGUUCUUUGUCCUCCCCCAUGUUGCUGCCAUCUUAAAGUCCUACAUUCUCAGCCAUGCCGUCGUCCUGCUCCUCUCCUCUUCCAGUGGCUGCACCACCCCCUCCCCUCUCCUUCUGCCUUCACCACCCUCUUCCCCCACCGGAACACGCUCCUCCUGCCCUCUGGUUCUGGAAGCCACAGACAAGAAGCUAAAAAGAAAGAAAGCAAUUAAAUAUUAGUAACUCAAAUCUUUA